AAUAAAUGCAGCCAUAAAUAUCCGUGUUUAGCGCUUUGACCAUCCGUCUUAUUUAAAAAAUUUAUGAAAAAUAUUAAAAAAAUUAGUCACACAUAAAGUACUAUUCAUGUUUUAUUAUCUAAUAACAAUAAAAAUACCUCUUUUUUUAAAUAAGACGAACAGUCAAACGUUGAACAUGAAUAGCGCUAAAACUGCACUUAUU
rnacentral:pre_miRNA from 1 species